rnacentral:rRNA from 1 species
GACGAACGCUGGCGGCGUGCUUAACACAUGCAAGUCGAGCGAUGAAGUUUCCUUCGGGAAACGGAUUAGCGGCGGACGGGUGAGUAACACGUGGGUAACCUGCCUCAUAGAGGGGAAUAGCCUUUCGAAAGGAAGAUUAAUACCGCAUAAGAUUGUAAUGCCGCAUGGCAUAGCAAUUAAAGGAGCAAUCCGCUAUGAGAUGGACCCCGCGUCGCAUUAGCUAGUUGGUGAGGUAACGGCUCACCAAGGCGACGAUGCGUAGCCGACCUGAGAGGUGAUCGGCCACAUUGGGACUGAGACACGGCCCAGACUCCUACGGUGGCAG